AUCCUUCAGGUUCUUACAUGUGAUGAGUGGGGUGUUCAUGCGCAUGUGUGAGAUGUGCCGUCCCAGAUGUUACGACGAGGCACAGCACCCAUCUGAUC
ensembl:snoRNA